CCUACGGGUGGCUGCAGUGAGGAAUAUUGGUCAAUGGGCGAGAGCCUGAACCAGCCAAGUCGCGUGAGGGAGUACUGCCCUAUGGGUUGUAAACCUCUUUUGUCGGGGAGCAAAAGCCGGACGUGUCCGGCUGUGAGAGUACCCGAAGAAAAAGCAUCGGCUAACUCCGUGCCAGCAGCCGCGGUAAUACGGAGGGGGCAAGCGUUAUCCGGAUUUACUGGGUGUAAAGGGGGCGCAGACGGCAAUGCAAGCCAGGAGUGAAAGCCCGGGGCCCAACCCCGGGACUGCUCUUGGAACUGCAUGGCUGGAGUACAGGAGGGGCAGGCGGAAUUCCUAGUGUAGCGGUGAAAUGCGUAGAUAUCACGAAGAACCCCGAUUGCGAAGGCAGCCUGCCGCAGCGUUACUGACGCUGAAGCUCGAAAGCGCGGGUAUCGAACAGGAUUAGAUACCCGUGUAGUC
rnacentral:rRNA from 1 species